UACAGGGGGGGCAAGCGUUGUUCGGAAUUACUGGGCGUAAAGCGCACGUAGGCGGGUCGUUAAGUCAGGGGUGAAAUCCCGGAGCUCAACUCCGGAACUGCCUUUGAUACUGGCGACCUUGAGGCUGGAAGAGGUUAGUGGAAUUCCCAGUGUAGAGGUGAAAUUCGUAGAUAUUGGGAAGAACACCAGUGGCGAAGGCGGCUAACUGGUCCAGAUCUGACGCUGAGGUGCGAAAGCGUGGGGAGCAAACAGG
rnacentral:rRNA from 1 species